UUAAAAAAAAAAAAAAAAUUGUUCAAACUCUCUCUUUGACAUGAAAAUUCCCAUCACCUUCCAAACAUAACCAUAACCGUAUCCCUAUUAAAUUUCUUGCAGACAACAAUUUGUAAUCAUUUAUACAAAAACAACAAUAACUAAGCCUUAAUCUUAAACUAAUUAGAAUCAGCUACAUAGAUCUUUUUUGUCAUUUAGCUCUGUUUAAAACCAAUUUUGUAUC
rnacentral:misc_RNA from 1 species